AUUGAACGCUGGCGGCAUGCCUUACACAUGCAAGUCGAACGGUAACAGGUCUUCGGAUGCUGACGAGUGGCGAACGGGUGAGUAAUACAUCGGAACGUGCCUAGUAGUGGGGGAUAACUACUCGAAAGAGUGGCUAAUACCGCAUGAGAUCUACGGAUGAAAGCAGGGGAUCGCAAGACCUUGUGCUACUAGAGCGGCCGAUGGCAGAUUAGUUAGUUGGUGGGAUAAAAGCUUACCAAGCCGACGAUCUGUAGCUGGUCUGAGAGGACGACCAGCCAAGGUGGGACUGAGAAACUGCCAAGACUCCUGCUGGAGGCAGCAGGGGGGAAUUUUGGACAAUGGGCGCAAGCCGGAUCCAGCAAGGCCGCGUGCAGGAUGAAGGCCUUCGGGUUGUAAACUGCUGUUGUACGGAACGAAAAGCCCCGGGUUAAUACCCUGGGGUCAUGACGGUACCGUAAGAAUAAGCACCGGCUAACUACGUGCCAGCCGCCGCCGUAA
rnacentral:rRNA from 1 species